ACCCGCUGAAUUUAAGCAUAUCAAUAAGCGGAGGAAAAGAAACCAACAGGGAUUGCCUUAGUAACGGCGAGUGAAGCGGCAAAAGCUCAAAUUUGAAAUCGGCCACCAGGUCGAGUUGUAAUUUGUAGAUUGUAUCUUGAGAGCGGAUUAAAGUCUGUUGGAACACAGCGCCUUAGAGGGUGACCGCCCCGUAAAAUCUAUUCUCAUUGUAAGAUACUUUCGAAGAGUCGAGUUGUUUGGGAAUGCAGCUCUAAGUGGGAGGUAAAUUCCUUCUAAAGCUAAAUAUUGACGAGAGACCGAUAGCGAACAAGUACUGUGAAGGAAAGAUGAAAAGCACUUUGAAAAGAGAGUGAAAAAGUACGUGAAAUUGUUAAAAGGGAAGGGUAUUGAAUCAGACUUGGUGCUGUUGUUCAACUGUGUUUCGGCAUAGUGUACUCAGCAGUACUAGGCCAAGGUGGGGUGUUUGGGAGUGAAAAAGAAGUUGGAACGUAACUCUUCGGAGUGUUAUAGCCUACUUUCAUAGCUCCUCAGGCGCCUCAGGACUGCGCUUCGGCAAGGACCUUGGCAUAAUGAUUCUAUACCGCCCGUCUUGAAACACGGACCAAGGAG
rnacentral:rRNA from 1 species